CAUGUAGGCGGCAUGACAAGUCUGGUGUGAAAUAUCUCGGCUCAACCGAGAAAACGCACUGGAAACUGUCAAGCUUGAGUAUCGGAGGGGAAGCUAGAAUUCCUGGUGUAGGGGUGAAAUCUGUAGAUAUCAAGAAGAAUACCGGUGGCGAAGGCGAGCUUCUGGCCAGAUACUGACGCUGAGAUGCGAAAGCGUGGGGAGCGAACAGGAUUAGAUACCCUGGUAGUCC
rnacentral:rRNA from 1 species